rnacentral:lncRNA from 1 species
GCAAGACUUUCUCAAACCUGACUUCUGGAGCUGUGCUCCUGCACACAUGUCUGCCUAGGUCAGACCCUCAUGGUCGCAACACUGAACAGAAUUCCACGUGGGUAGCUCAGAUCACACAGGGAAGCAUGCAUGGGGUCUCACUCUCGGAGAGGGUGUGUGCGGGGGGGCGGGGGGCUGAAGCUGCUCAGAAGAAACAGAGUAAGUCCCUUCAUCUGCAGUGCUGAGGUGGCUGCUUACACGACCCCUUUGCCAGACAGACCUUGACCCAAGUCAACUCCUCGUGCACCCAGCUGGUGCCUUACGUAUCCAGAGUGCAGACCUCAAGGCCAGGAGAAGCUCCCGGACAGCGUCCACUCAGAGUCCACUGUGAGGAUCUAACCUCCAUUUCUACAAGCUAGCGCCUCGGGGAGAACUUCCAGGGCCAAGCAGACUCCCAACAGCAUCCUUCUCCAGAGCCGAGAGUCUCCAUCCUGGCCGCACCCCAGCACCGGACAAAAAUAGACUGCGGAGCGAGCCCAGCUGGCAGGAUCUCAGUCUCCGAGCAGAUGAGCAGCGAGCAGGAUUCCAGCAGCCGGGUCGGAGGAGCACAGGAAGGACGGACGUAGGCACACGGCCCGGGUGGAAAACCCACUCCCACUACAAUCCUGGCAGCUGAGGCCAACUCUUUUCUUCCCUAGAGCAUCUGGCUCAGCCCUGUCUGCCCUUCUAAAAUGAGCUAUCAAAAAAUAUAUAUAUACAUACACACACACACACACACACACCACAAAAAUGAAUAAAAAUGACCCAUCAGCAACAGUAUCUAUUAAUAGCAAUGAAGGCAACGCUCCCGCUGUGGCCCUGCCAGUCCUUGGGGUGUAGCACCAGCUCCCAGCUCCUCUUAGAGGGACUUUUGCUUCCCC